rnacentral:rRNA from 2 species
GAMGAACGCGUUGGCCCAAUUGAUUGAUGGUGCUUGCACYUGAUUGAUUUUGGUYGCCAACGAGUGGCGGACGGGUGAGUAACACGUAGGUAACCUGCCCAGAAGCGGGGGACAACAUUUGGAAACAGAUGCUAAUACCGCAUAACARCGUUGUUCGCAUGAACAACGCUUAAAAGAUGGCUUCUCGCUAUCACUUCUGGAUGGACCUGCGGUGCAUUAGCUUGUUGGUGGGGUAACGGCCUACCAAGGCGAUGAUGCAUAGCCGAGUUGAGAGACUGAUCGGCCACAAUGGGACUGAGACACGGCCCAUACUCCUACGGGAGGCAGCAGUAGGGAAUCUUCCACAAUGGGCGCAAGCCUGAUGGAGCAACACCGCGUGAGUGAAGAAGGGUUUCGGCUCGUAAAGCUCUGUUGUUAAAGAAGAACACGUAUGAGAGUAACUGUUCAUACGUUGACGGUAUUUAACCAGAAAGUCACGGCUAACUACGUGCCAGCMGCCGCGGUAAUWCGGUCAUAGCUGUUUCC